CCAGAACCAGACAAUGUAGGCUCUUGUCAGUGCUCUUUUACAAGGCGGGAGCAAACUAUAGGGUGGAGGUGUAGAUUUUUAAGACACCUUAAGACACUGCCAUCAUCACCCUCAAAUCCCUCCCCCGCCCUCCAGGCACACGCCUCCAUCCUCGCCACGUUCUGCAGCCCCGCUGGAGUCCUCUGGGAGUCUUUAGUGUCACUGUUUUAGCUGCCUCGAUGUCUUGAAUCGAUUCAAAACGUUUCCGUUCCGUAGUCAUUUUGACUUUGGGGAGGAGCCAGAAGCCCCACGGGGCCACAGCUGUGACUCAGGAGGAUGAGGACGCAGCACAGCGCUCUUCUGAGCCUGCCUCUCCGGAGGACGGCGCUCGGCAGCAGCAUUUCCCGUGUUUCUGAUCACACCUCGUAAGGACACUCGGGAAAUAGUACUCCAGAGCUGCUUCCAACUGCGGCGAGGGUGACGGGAUGAGUUUGUUGGAAGCGACGGGGAGGAUUUUGAGGGGAUUCAUAGCAAUGUGUAUCUUACUGCAACACAUUUUUUAUAUGUGUGCAUUCGCUGCAGAUUUUGAUCACAUCUUGUACCUGCUUCCUGAAUCCCCAGCCGGCUGCAGGAGCACCGUGGGGGCCAGGGACGGAGGCACAGCUGGCCUCCCCUCCCCGAUCCAAUCCAGGGCCAGCUGUGACUCUGGAGGUCUUGACUGCAUUUCCCGGUCUCCACAUGGUUGCUGCUUCCUCUCACGGGGCCGCCCACUCCAGGUCCAGCCUGCCAGGCCGAGAUGGCCCUGUAGAAUCCCUGGUCCGGGGACUGAACUGGGAGCCUCAGGCUGGGCCGCUGGGGAGUCCCAGACCCAGACCUCCCCCAUACUCAGCUCUCCCCCAUACUCAGCUUUCCUGGGUUCUAGGUGUCUCCCCGAGGGCACACAGUGACAUGUGGGGCAAUAACCUGUUGACGUGGGCUCGGCAGGAUGCUCUGGACAUUGCCGGUGUCCACCCCACAAUGCCGGGACAGUCUCCCCACAGGGGCAGCAACCAAAGCAUCUGCAGACCCUGCACAGCCCCUGGGGACAGAACCACCCCGAGAGCCCCUGGGAGGCACUCAGGGGGAGCCUGUGUCUCCCGUACUAUAAAUCAGGGGUGAAACUUGCAGGCAGGCCGGAACCCCUGCCUUGCAGGGUGGAAUCAACAACACGGCCCUCUAGGCAGUCUUAGUACAGAGCGGUGGUUAAACGUCCUGGGGCCUGGGGCAACUCCACAGCUACACAGAGAUAGGAAGGCAUCGCAGCCUCAAACGAGGAAGGCAAGUGUUCUGCCCCUGUAAACGUCUAACUACACGGUGUGAUGUGUGAGUCCAGGAGUUUUUAGUGUAGACAGGUAAAUUUGACAGAAAUAUUCUAGGCAGCCAGGCAGGGCCGGGCCCUCGAGGAACUGUCUCACCCUCACUAAAACUUUCUGCCUUGUUCCUCAGACUUCACUCUUCGAUUUUGGGGAGCACGAACUCAGCAUGUGGGACGUCUGGCAGGCUGGGAGUUAUAAUAUUUCCCUCUGUCAUUUGGAGGUCUGAGAUCAUUCCUAUAUCCUUUUCAGGGCAACUGGGAACAGAACAUUUUAGGGUUUUUCUCUGAGGACUACAGAGCCUGUUCUGUGGCUUGCCCAUGCUGGGACUGGUGGUCUGGGCUCUCCAAGAGGCGCUGGCACUGCCACCGGUCACUGGCAUCUAGGGUCCGGCACUAGGGCACAGUGACACAUGCUUGGCCAGGGACGUCCAGCAGCGGAUAGGGCUUCUCCGAGGGCAGGCGGGCUGACUUCCCCAGUUCCUUUUCACCCGGGCCUCACUGCUGAGAGCUGUCAGCAGCUGUGACGGUCCCCAGCCCCUCCCUGGCACGCUGGGGCUAUGGGCCACUGCUCCCGCAGUCACAGGGGAGGGGGUCCUCCUCCGCACCUGCUCCCGAGAUCUCCAGCAAGGCUGGCGGCUUUCUGACACACGGUCCUCUGGGGUCCCCAGCCUGUCUGUGGGGCGCUCUGGGGAUCUGAAGCACGUCCUUCCACUUUUCCACUCGCCUGAGGUCACAGUUCCCUUUUCUGACCAGGCCACCACGUGACACGCCUCCAUGUGACACGCCUCCAUGCGGGGCACCACCCUUCAUCACGCCUCGAAGGUCACUCCCAGACACUUCCUGCACUGGUUCCUCCAAACCCCACAGGCUCCUUCCCACUGCCAGCUCCCCUGCAAGGGCCAGCCCAUAUGCCCGUCCCUCCCUGUCCUCUGCCAGUCAGUCGUGGUGAGGUCGGAUGCCUGUGGGCUCCCGAACUUGACCUUCACUGUCCACUCCCUCCUCUCUCUCCUUCCAAGGUCCGGGCAGUAGCAGAGUCACAUCCGCUUCCUGGGCUUUCUAACAAAGGAGGAAGUGAGCGAGCCAGCCGGACCCGAGCCGUCUCCCAGCUGUCUCCCCAUCAUCAUCCCUGGAGCCUGCGGCGGCGGAAGCACUUUGCUCUGGAACCUGAGCCCAGGCCAUUACUUCGGGGUAUGAGUCCUUUGUACUGCAAGAGUGGAAAUGUCGCCUAUAAAAAGCUAUCAAGGUCCAGAACAUCCCCUGUCCUUGCUAUUUCAGUAAAGAUUUCUUCCUGUGGUUCCUUCUGGUCCCCACACAAACAUCACCUCGCUGGGGGAGUCGGUACAAAUGCUGUGACUCUCACCCCUGAGUAUCAGAGCAGACAUUCAACAGGAGGCUGAGGCAGGAGGAUCCUGUGAGCCUAGGAGUUCAAGGUCAAGCUGGGCAACACAACAAAGCAAAAACAGAAAACAGACUGCAACAAGUUGGGAGGGGACAUCAUUUGAAUCUAUAGUCGUCCCACGACACAAAGAGGAACCGAAAGGAUUUCUGUCGAGGACGAUGUCAGCUUGGAAAAGGCGACGUCAGAGAGGAGUGGGGACGCAGAGGGUGACACCCGUCCACCCUCUCACUUGGGAGGCUCAGACAGACCAACAAACUCCGCAGCCGGCAGAGGAGCGGCUGAUCCCCUUGGGGCCUCUCAGGCAGCCCCGGUGAGGACAUCCUUUCCGCAGGGAGGCCCUGGGCGUUCUGGGGGCCGCGGCAUCCCAGGGUAAAGCACAGUGGACGCCUGGAACCCAGACGGUGCCAGCCCGGCCUCACCCUUUCCUCCUCUGUGCCCACGGUGAGGCCUGGAGUGCCAGGCCUGUGCUGCCCUCACGUGCGUGGUGCCCCAGCACCCGUGUCUCACUGCACCCCUGCGCUGGGGCCACCAUUAAAUAAAGUAGGCGCACACACACCCCAGGAGCACAGCAUCCCCGGGAGAGGUGGGACCUGUGUGAGACUCCGCCCCCGCGACCGCACCAGGUGCCGCUCUGUAGCUGACGACAAACAGCCCCCAGGGCCGAGCUGCUGUGACUGAGUUACACUUUCACCCGGGAAGGACAGUGUGCGGCCCCCUCUCUACAGGAAAUUCCCUGAGGCGCCCAAAUGCCAGACCUGCAAGGAAAUCAGUGAAAUGCAAGGCUUCGGGAGACCUAUCCAGUGCCUGCUUAGGUGCAGGUCCCAUUCGGGGAAGGAAGACGAAUCGUACUUGAAGCGCAGCUCUGUGGAUUUAUGCUGCUGCUCCCACAGGGAAAUUGCAUUCUGAUGAGCAGUAAUUUCUGGGUGUGAUAAGAAGAUAGAAGCAAUUGUAUUGGGUGUCUGACUCCACAUCGAGAGGUCGCCUCUCUGGCUCGGUGAUGGAUGGAUCCAGGCCCGCUGUUCUCUCACCCAGCCCAAGUCAGAAUAUUUUAAUUGAUCAGCUCAUCCAGGCGGUGACAAGCGACGGAAACGCUUCCUGCGUCAGAAACAGACUGAUUCGGGGGGCAGGGAGAGAGGCUGUCAUUUUCCCAGUUGGUCCGAUUCACAGAGCGAGCUUUCAGAAAUAAUUACUGAUUCCUUGUCCAGCCAGCCUCCUGAAUGCUGGGAUUGAAGCCACCAUACCUGGCCACACACCACUUGGAACCGUGGUGUCAGGACCUCCUCCAGCUCUUCCCCAGCAAGGGCCCUGCUCCCGGGGACAGCCGUGGAUCGGCUCUGCACGUGGAAGUCAUCUUCGCACAGAAGAGAGAGACCGGAAGCUGUGGUUACUUGGAUGCAGGUUUCCCACAGACAUUUCUUCGAAGAUGGACAAAGAUGGACGGAGCGAACUUCAAGAAAAGCAACUGACAGCAUCUCUUGCCAGUGAUAAAAUGUGAGCUUUCAAGUGAAAAUCGGAACUGGGGAAAAUGUGUAUCCACCACCCGGAGCCUGACAGCUCCUCAACAACCAUGCCACUGGCGCUGGCAUUAAUGAAUGUGAUCUUUUCCCUCUGCACAACUGUGACACGCGCCGGCAUUUGGAAGAUGUGGCUGAUUCAGAGAAGCAGAGUUCCCCAAGUGACUAACGCACGCUGUUAUAAUCCGUGCUGGGCACUGCCUGUGAGUGUGAGUGGGCGGGAAAAGGUCGCAGAUGGGGCGUCACAUCCCGCUCUGCAAUUAACCUACAAAACGCAACCACUUGUCAGAGGCUGGCGCGCAGCAGGAGGCCCUGGCUUCCACCCUGACCUCGGCCAAAAAAGAAACAGAACUACCACUUGCUGAGUUUUGGUGAAGUAUCAAAGGCUAUCCAAGUCAGGUGUGGGAGGCUGAGGCAGGAGGAUGGCCAUGAAUUCAAGGCCAGCCUGAACUACGGAUCGAGGCACUUUCUUAAAAAGCCCACCCCAAACCCAGGAAUAUGCAGUUACUGAAAAGGCUCUCCUUUGCCAAACGCACAUCCCAGAGGGCACUUUCUUCCUAUCCGUCACACAGCUCCCCCUGCCACAAACAGAUGCAGAACACUCAUCUGGCUUUGAAGUCAGAACCCAGGGAGACUUGCAGACCCGCGCAACGCCGCCACCCUCCGCACUGAGGUUUUCACUGGGGAUAUGCACUUUCCCUAGGAUGUGAGUCCCGUCAGCAUGCAGUUCCCCAGGAGUUUUGUCUCCUGGUGUGGGGGAUGGAACCUAGAGCGGCGGGCACCCUAAGCACCCACUGUAGCACUGAGCAGGAAUUCAUAUUUUUAAAGUCUGAAUUUCCAUCAAGGGUGAACACGAGCCUCAGCCAUAGCUCUUGGGGGCCGCAGUACUCCUGACAGUGCCGAGGGGUCCUGGCCUAUCCAGUGUAUAGUCACCCGAUGAUCACGUCAAAGGUUACAACGGAGGUGAAGGGGUGUCUAUGCGGUCACCACUGCAGGGGUCCAAAUGUCGGGCACUACAAGCUUGAAAAAGCCCCCCAAGUGCUGGUGGAGGGGCCCUUAGUGUACUUGUGUGAGCGGGAGCUGGGGACGGCCUGAGUCACAAACAGGCGCCUACCGUCUGCCUCCGUGCAUGUCCCCUCCCCAGGAGGGCCAAAUGCCCCACGGCACUGGGUCCCCUGGGAUCUACCUUGGGGAGCAGAGAGCCCACUGGCGGGGGCCCCUAGGCUGUGGACUCUGUCACAGUGCGGGGAGGUGCUCAGCAAAGUCCUUUUCGACAGAAGAGAAACCUGAGGCCCAGAGGGAAGAAGUAAACAGAACUGGCACGCAUGGGGCCCCAACCUGCAGCUGGGUGCCAGCCCACUUCCUGAUAUCCGUCCCCCAAACUGCCCUGUCAAAUGGGUGUGACUGGAAAAUACAGUGUUUACGUUUUAAACAUUGUAUUAUAGUAAAAGACACACUGUUACUAACUCCCCUCGAAAUAUCCGCCCUUGCUGUGAACAACCGCACCCUUCCUUCCCGCCGCUGUGCAGCAGCUCUGGAGUGCUGUUUCUUGAGGGUCUUCGGUUGCGCUGUCCUGGCUGCCUCGAUGUGAAUCAACUCAGAACAUUCUCCUUUCCUGGUCACGUUGACUUUGGGGAAGAGCCGGAGGUCACACGGCGCCAGACCCGGUGACCAAGCGGGAAGAGGACACUGUUGUGUUUUGCAAGCCUGCCUCUGCGCUGGAUGGCACCGGGCAGCGGCAGUCACCGCAUUUUUGAUCACACCACGUAAAGACUCGGGAAAGAGAACUUCUGCAGCUGCUUCGGAAAGUGGCAAGAACGACGGGGUGAGUGUGCUCAAAUCCAGGGGAGGAUUCUGAGGAAGAUCCAUGGUGAUGUCUUUCACUAUAAUAACUUUUAUUUCAACGUUCACUGAAUGUUUUGAUCAUGCCUCUGCAGGGCAGCGCUGUGGUUCAGAUCCGUGUCCCACCCGGGUGCUGAGCCUUCCGUGCCCACACCCUAAGGCCUGUACUCAAGCUCUCUGUAUCCGCGGCUCUGUAUCCCCGACUCUAUCCAUGGAUGCAGCCAAUUGCAGACUGAACAUCAGGAACAAAACCGCACCCGUACGGGUCAGGCACAGACGCUCCUCCGCAGAGUUCCGAGCAGUUCACGGAAACGCGUCUCACAGCACUUCCGCUGUCUCGGGUGUUGGGAGUUACCCGAAGCUGAUCUGGUGCAUACGGGGGGCUGUGCACAGGUUAUGCACACACUGUGCUGUGAUAAACGUGACGGGGAAACACGGUUCUGUGCAUGUAUACAAGGGACUUGAGCAAGGAGGAUUCUGGAAUCCAAGCGGCGCUGGGCCCGUGGCCUGCAGACCACGGGGGCGAUGACAGCAUCACGGGACAGGGCAGAGAAGGCAGCAGGCAGAACCGAGGGCGCUCACUGGCGGACUUCAGCAAGACCACCCGGGGUUCCCUGUGGGGUCCAGGCCAUCGCCAGGGUCGCAGAGCGGUGGUGGGGAGUCAGGGUGAGGGGGCGGGGCCGGGAAGCAGCUCCGGAAGGAGCAGCAGCUAGGGACUGGGGAAGACCGGGCCAGCUUCUCCGCAGGGCCUCCCUCUGCCCACACAGCCCUGCCAAUGCCUGGGCUGCAGCCCAGUGAGGCCCAGGCUGGACUCCUGAGCCCCUGGGAAGUGAAGCUGUGUUUGUGCUCUUGCUAUUUCUUCCUUUAUUUUUUGGGAACCAGGAAUCAAACUCAGGACCUUGCACUUACCAGGCAGGCGCCCAGCCACGGCCUCAGUAGCACUGAGGACGGAAGCCAGGGCCCUCGUACACCGGACAAGUGCGGCACCGCGAGCCCCGCCCUCCUCCCGGGUCCGUGAUGUCUCAGCCACCGGCUUGUGGCUUCGAUCUCAGGGGGCUGCCGUCACGCUACAGAGGACACAUUUCCCCGCUCGCCUCGUGUCCCCAGCAUCACAGCGUGGUAACUUCUCCCGUGCCCCCCACGCACGCACACUCGCGCACGGGACCCCACAUGCCCGCUGGCGUGACAGCUCUGGCUCUGCCGGACACUCCGGCCUGUGGGACCCCAGGGGAGGUGGGAGGGAAAGGAAU